AACGAACGCUGGCGGCAUGCCAAACACAUGCAAGUCGAACGAGAUCUUCGGGUCUAGUGGCGCACGGGUGCGUAACGCGUGGGAAUCUGCCCUUUGGUUCGGAAUAACAGUUGGAGACGACUGCUAAUACCGGAUGAUGACGAAAGUCCAAAGAUUUAUCGCCCGAGGAUGAGCCCGCGUAGGAUUAGCUAGUUGGUGUGGUAAAGGCGCACCAAGGCGACGAUCCUUAGCUGGUCUGAGAGGAUGAUCAGCCACACUGGGACUGGGACACGGACCAGACUGCUACGGGAGGCAGCAGUGGGGAAUAUUGGACAAUGGGCGAAAGCCUGAUCCAGCAAUGCCGCGUGAGUGAUGAAGGCCUUAGGGUUGUAAAGCUCUUUUACCCGGGAUGAUAAUGACAGUACCGGGAGAAUAAGCUCCGGCUAACUCCGUGCCAGCCGCCGCCGUAAGAC
rnacentral:rRNA from 1 species